rnacentral:rRNA from 1 species
UCCGAAUGGGGCAACCCGGUAUGUUGAAGACAUAUCACCUAUUUAUAGGGGCAAACCCGGAGAACUGAAACAUCUAAGUACCCGGAGGAGAAGAAAACAAAAGUGAUUCCGCUAGUAGCGGCGAGCGAACGCGGGUUAGCCCAAACCACAGUUGUUACGGCAAUUGUGGGGUUGUAGGACCACGUCAUUCGAUGCUAAACGAACUAGAAUCUACUGGAAAGUAGGACCAAAGAGGGUGAUAGUCCCGUAUAGGUAAGUUGAGUUAUUGAUAGUGGUAUCCUGAGUAGUGCGGGGCACGUGAAACCCUGCAUGAAUUUGCCGGGACCAUCCGGUAAGGCUAAAUACUCCUGAGAGACCGA